GAUGAAGAACGUAGCGAAAUGCGAUAAGUAAUGUGAAUUGCAGAAUUCAGUGAAUCAUCGAAUCUUUGAACGCACCUUGCGCUCCUUGUAUUCCAAGGAGCAUGCCUGUUUGAGUAUCAUUAAAUUAUCAACUGUGCCAAUUUGGUUACAGAUUGGAUGUGGGAGAUUCUUUUUGCAGGCCUUUGACUUCUCUUUGAGAAAAAAAAUAAAAGGUCGGCUCUCCUGAAAUGUAUUAGCAGUGCCUUUGUUGGUUCAUUAGGUGUGAUAAAUUGUCUACAUCUUCGCAUGAUACCUUCAUUUGUAAAGGUCAUAUUGCUUCUAAAUUGUCUUUGAUUGGACGCAAAACAUAUAUAAUGUUUGACAAACUUGAUCUCAAAUCAGGCAGGACUACCCGCUGAACUUAAGCAUAUCAAUAAGAGGAGGA
rnacentral:misc_RNA from 1 species